CAAUAGCGUAUAUUAAAGUUGUUGCAGUUAAAAAGCUCGUAGUUGGAUUUGUGGCGUACGGUGUGUUCCGGGCACUUGUUGUCUGAGUAACCUGCUGUUGCCAUCCUUGGGUGGAACCUGUGUGGCAUUAGGUUGUCGUGCAGGGGAUGCCCAUCAUUUACUGUGAAAAAAUUAGAGUGUUCAAAGCAGGCUUAUGCCGUUGAAUAUAUUAGCAUGGAAUAAUGAGAUAGGACUUUUUUGCUAUUUUGUUGGUUUGCGCAAAGAGGUAAUGAUUAAUAGGGACAGUUGGGGGUAUUCGUAUUCCAUUGUCAGAGGUGAAAUUCUUGGAUCUUUGGAAGACGAACUACUGCGAAAGCAUUUACCAAGGAUGUUCUCAUUAA
rnacentral:rRNA from 1 species